GGGGUGAAACAACUGCCUUAUUUGCCACAGCAUCCUCUGACACAUUUAUGUGCUUAAGAUGUGGAUUCCAAGAAGUUUGCUUCAAAGACCAGUGUGGAUCCUUGAUGAGGAGGUGACCCAAGCUAAAAGUCAGCUGACUUCUCUGCAGCAAUUCCAGUGGUUACAUAUUUCCUAUCCAGAUGCCUGAGGUGGAGAAAGAGAGGAAGCUGAACCGACACCAAGCAAAAGAAGCCUGUUGUUUGGACUACUUUCUAGACUUGGCUAUUCUGGAGGUUGAUGUCACCAACACUCAGAUAUCCAGGAAGAAGUCACCUGUUGGAUUUAAGAAAACUCAAAUUUCCAGAUGUCCUUUCAAAAUACAUAUCCGGCCAUCUCAUUGUCC